GAUCUUUGACAUACUUGAUACAAACAAUGGCGAAACGAAAUAAUCUGCGGGUGAAAGGCCCGCGCGUGAUUAACCCAUUGUAGUUAGUCUGUGGCCUAUUGCGCACAGAGCGAAGCCGUGGAAGGCACGGAAUACCCGAGGAUCGCAAUCCUCCUGACUACAC
ncrna:unclassified sequences DTF2693 RNA